rnacentral:rRNA from 1 species
GAUGAACGCUAGCGGCGGGCUUAAUACAUGCAAGUCGAGGGGUGGUAGCAAUACUACACCGGCGCACGGGUGCGUAACGCGUAUGCAAUCUACCUUUAUCUGGGGGAUAGCCCGGGGAAACCCGGAUUAAUACCGCAUAAGUAAGUAACUCGGCAUCGAGUAGCUUUGAAAGAUUUAUCGGGUAAAGAUGAGCAUGCGUAAGAUUAGAUAGUUGGCGAGGUAACGGCUCACCAAGUCUACGAUCUUUAGGGGCUCUGAGAGGAGAAUCCCCCACACUGGCACUGAGAUACGGGCCAGACUCCUACGGGAGGCAGCAGUAGGGAAUAUUGGGCAAUGGGCGCAAGCCUGACCCAGCCACGCCGCGUGCAGGAAGAAGGCCCUCUGGGUUGUAAACUGCUUUUGACUGGGAAGAAAAGAUUCCUUGCGAGGAAAGUUGACGGUACCAGCAGAAAAAGCCACGGCUAACUACGUGCCAGCCGCCGCCGUAAUAC